UUUCGAAUCAUUCACAAUGGGCGAAAGCCUGAUGGUGCGACGCCGCGUGGGGGAUGAAGGUCUUCGGAUUGUAAACCCCUGUCACCUGGGACUAAACUCCGGCGUAGAGCCGGACUGAAUUAACCAGGAGAGGAAGCAGUGGCAAACUCUGUGCCAGCAGCCGCGGUAAUACAGAGACUGCAAGCGUUACUCGGAUUCACUGGGCGUAAAGGGAGCGCAGGUGGGCUGGUGUGUCGGGCGUGAAAUCCCGGGGCUUAACUCCGGAACGGCGCCCGAAACUACUGGCCUAGAGGAUUGGAGAGGCGGGUGGAAUUCCAGGUGUAGCGGUGAAAUGCGUAGAUAUCUGGAGGAACACCGACGGCGAAGGCAGCCCGCUGGACAAAUCCUGACACUCAGGCUCGAAAGUAUGGGGAGCAAAAGGGAUUAGAUACCCGCGUAGUCC
rnacentral:rRNA from 1 species